rnacentral:tRNA from 1 species
UCUCUGCUAGUAUAUCGGUUAGUACACGCGCCUGUCAUUCUUUGUAUUUGAUGAUUGCAAACGCGCGAAAGCUGGGUUCGACUCCCAGGCAGAGAG